GAUGAACGCUGGCGGCGUGCCUAAUACAUGCAAGUCGAGCGAACGGACGAGAAGCUUGCUUCUCUGAUGUUAGCGGCGGACGGGUGAGUAACACGUGGAUAACCUACCUAUAAGACUGGGAUAAAUUCGGGAAACCGGAGCUAACACCGGAUGAUAUUUUGAACCGCAUGGUUCAAAAGUGAAAGACGGUCUUGCUGUCACUUAUAGAUGGAUCCGCGCUGCAUUAGCUAGUUGGUAAGGUAGCGGCUUACCAAGGCAACGAUGCAUAGACGACCUGAGAGGGUGAUCGGCCACACUGGAACUGAGACACGGUCCAGACUCCUACGGGAGGCAGCAGUAGGGAAUCUUCCGCAAUGGGCGAAAGCCUGACGGAGCAACGCCGCGUGAGUGAUGAAGGUCUUCGGAUCGUAAAACUCUGUUAUUAGGGAAGAACAUAUGUGUAAGUAACUGUGCACAUCUUGACGGUACCUAAUCAGAAAGCCACGGCUAACUACGUG
rnacentral:rRNA from 1 species